UUCCGUGAAAAAAAAUUAUUGGCUCAUAGGCUUUCUUUCAAUUUACUGAACAAACUUUUCUAAGUAACCCAUACAUUUUGAAGCCUCUAACUAUUGAAAAACAAUGAAAAACUGGCGGCACGCCGUUUUACCCCACGGUCUCCAGAAAAAUAUUUCAUGUUGUUAUCCCUCUCGACCCCCUGUUCCCCAUGAUUUUACCAUUACGUUGUGGUGAAUUUAUGAUCAGCUGGCUUCACUUAACAGCUGACUGAAAUGACAGAUAUGGUUUUGUUUAUAAACAUAUAUGUUUUCAUUACCUAGCACUCCUACGAAAAUUUUUUCGUCAGAUUGGUCAAAUUCGUCAAAGUUCCAGCGGUUCCAGCUCUUCAUCACCGGAAACGAAAACAGGAUUAUUUCGGUCGCAUGUGUUUUUCGUGUCUAGAGGUGAAGGAAGUGUUACCGCGGCGCAGUUAAUUCUAAGUAUGAAUGGAUUCCGAUCCAUCCUAUGGAUGAGUGGAUGAGGGCGUAAUUUCAACAUUGACACACCUGAGCGCAAAACAGGAAUGUAGAGGACUUGCUGUAAGAUGACGAUCGGACCCAACCUCGGCCGCCCCGGCACCAAGUACACCGCCAGCGAUGACGCCUGUACAACCAGCAUCAUAAAAGGCGGAAAUACCACAAUGCCAUAACCAACGGCGAAAGCUUCGGCCUCCUGAUACCUGAAUCCAGAACGGUUAAUAGGACGAGAGGCCACAGGAUCGUCUUUUACCGAAGUGUUCCCCGAGAGGGUGCAGAACGUGACCGACGCAUUGACAAGCUUCUCCGUGGCCAGCCUGAAACCGUGACCAGGCUUACCUGCAGCUGCAACGUAACCUGGAAUUUCUGGAACAUCGAGCGUGCUCGAGGUGGAACAGACCUAGGCGCAAUUGCUGCUGAUCCGUUGGUGGUGGUGGCCAGCGGUAUGCCCACGUAUGCCAGCUAUGCCACAGUUAGCGGCGCAAUAAUCUCCCACUCUUCCAGUGUUACAUUUGAAAUAGAUUAUUUUCGAGAAAAAAUAUAUUGGCACGGGUAUGUUUCUCAA